CCAUCUCUUUUUUGCUGUCUUCUUUGGAGACCAUCCGUGAGAAUUGCGAAGGGAGGAGAGAGAGAGGAAACAUAUAGGAUCAUUGUUUUGGCUGCUUUGCUUGGAGGAAUGUAUAAUCAAGGUUGAAUGUCACCCUUAUAGAUGAGACUCUAUAAGGUCAUGAUGAUGAUGUUGGAGGAGAAGCUUAGACUUAUGUUUAUUGUCUUUUAUUUUUAGUUUUAUUUGGGACUCUAAAGCUCUGAUGGGUUGUGAGAUCGGGGAUUGAUUUAUUUUUUUAUGUUUAUAUUUUUUUAUAACUAAAUUAGUAAUUUUCAUUUCUUAAGUUUGAUUAUGUUUUAAGGAAUUGUAAGAUCAAAUGUGAGCCAAUAUAUUUUUGUUGACAAUAUUAAUA